GUGAGGUGAAUUUGUAAAUCUCAAGGUUUCAUAACUUAAAAUAACUAUUGACUUUUUAAACCACGUUUUCUUAUUAUUACUUGUUGACCUAAAGUCAAGUUCGGAGACAAAACUUCACAAUCUAUUUUUUUGGUUAAUUUUACAACACUUACUUGAAUCUAGCUGUCCACAAUCUAUAAACACUAGUUGAGUUCCAUGUGCAUAAAUCACACCAACAAGAAACGGCCACGUCAACCGACGACACAAACCAGCAUCCCGAUUGAGAACCGGAUGAAACUCGUACCUGGAGAGUUGCGACACCGAUCACGGCUGCAGAACGGGGGUUGGUUGCGUGUGGGGAGAGCGAGCAUCCAGGCGGAGCGCUAUGAAUGGAUGGAUAGAUGGAUGAAUUAAAACCCACCAUCAUCGUUAUCAUCCAUUCUCAUCGAUGCGCGCCCUCCAUUUGUCCCCAUCUCUGUCUCCCACGAGACUGGGCUGAGCUCAGUCUGUGUUUAUUUGCUUGUUAUUUAUUUUGUAGUUUCCGAAAACUGAAAAGAAGGAAGAAAACAAACUAAACAGAGGAAAAUCUUAAAAGGGAUGUCCUCCGUGUCGAAAUUGAAACUGCAUUGUUACCGUUGUGACGCAUUCGACUCUAGCGUGUCGACAGCUCCAUGGAAAC
rnacentral:lncRNA from 1 species